rnacentral:rRNA from 1 species
CCAGAGAAUUUAGCAGAGAUGCUUUAGUGCCUUCGGGAACUCUGAGACAGGUGCUGCAUGGCUGUCGUCAGCUCGUGUUGUGAAAUGUUGGGUUAAGUCCCCGCAACGAGCGCAACCCUUAUCCUUUGUUGCCAGCACGUAAUGGUGGGAACUCAAAGGAGACUGCCGGUGAUAAACCGGAGGAAGGUGGGGAUGACGUCAAGUCAUCAUGGCCCUUACGAGUAGGGCUACACACGUGCUACAAUGGCGCAUACAAAGAGAAGCGAUCUCGCGAGAGCAAGCGGACCUCAUAAAGUGCGUCGUAGUCCGGAUUGGAGUCUGCAACUCGACUCCAUGAAGUCGGAAUCGCUAGUAAUCGUAAAUCAGAAUGUUACGGUGAAUACGUUCCCGGGCCUUGUACACACCGCCCGUCACACCAUGGGAGUGGGUUGCAAAAGAAGUAGAUAGCUUAACCUUCGGGAGGGCGUUUACCACUUUGUGAUUCAUGACUGGGGUGAAGUCGUAACAAGGUAGGCGUAGUGCU